CACCCUCCCUGCGCGUGCGCGCGGGCUUCCCGCCACCGGUUGCCAUGGUGACGCCCCCUGAGGCGGGCCCGGCCCCCGCCCCGGGCAGCCCUGAGGCGGCCGCCGGGGGCGGACGAGCGCUGGGGAAUCGGCGGCGGGCCCGGCCUCCGCCCGGGGCUCUGGUGGCGAGAGCUGGCCAAGAGGCAGAGGGAGGUUUAGUGGCAACAGAAAGCACUGUGGCUGACUGUCAACUACAUUACUAUCAGUUUUCUCCAAAAACAAGGGCAUUUCAAGGCCUGCAGCUAUUCCUAAGGCAACAAGGACAUGGUUGCUGCAGCAAGCUCUAUUCACUAUUGCACCAAACAUCAUUGAGAAGAUGCAGCCAGUCAGAGGGAACCAAAGCAGCUCUCCCAAAAUCAGGCAGCUGAUCAGAGACACUGUGAUUCUCUGUGUGGACCUACUGGACUUUUGCUAGCAAUGUUUUAAUAAUUCGCUUUUUCUCCCAACCAUGGCACUGGUCUGUACCACAGGUGACCGGAUGACCACUUCCCAGGCAGGGAGAGCUGGCUGUCCUGCCUCGAUGCAGGGAGGUGGAAGAGAACAGUUUUCUGCAGAACUUCAGCCAGAAAGAGGUGGCUAAAAAGCGCUUGGAGCAAUGACACGGGACGGGGAGGAUGUUCUGGGCUGGUGGGGACUCAAAAACCAAAGAGGCAAUGAAAGCACAGUAUGGCAGAAGCAAAGCUACUUUGACAGAUAUGCCUAAAGCACAUGCAUAGGGCCAACAGUGCUUUAAACUCUAGUAUGAAAACCUUGGCUUGAUUUAAUAUGUGCUUUGGUACUCUCCUGUGAACUACAACCCUGUAGGUGCAGGCAGAGCCCUGAAAUAGGGACACUUCUGAUGCAGGUUGCAAAAGACAGGAUAUUUACUAUCACUCGUUGGUGCUGAGUUUCUCUGCAGAAAACUACUAUUAUGGAACUUGUGGGCACUGUUGUCAGUUCUAAAAUAUUUUUAAAAGUAACUGCUUGAAGUCAUCAUGCAAUUGUAUUUACAGUAACCAUGUGAACCUGCGCAUCUAUAUCUAUGCAUACACGUUACAGAUUAUAUAUGUGUAUGUACCUUUACCCCCACAUUCAGCAUUUCUCAAAAUGUGUUUCACUUUGCUGUCUGCUGAGUCUGACGGGCAAACGCACAGCUCUGUGUUAAGGCUUGUAAUGCUGGUGGCUCUUUGGCAGCUUCAGAUGAACUUUUUAAAGCUUUCAGUACAAAUUGGUUCAAUCUAGGUCAACAGUGAUCAGAGAAAUAGCCAUGAGGGCCAAUUCCAAUGGCAGUGGGGGAAGGACUGAGUAAAGUUUACUUUUUGAAUUAAAGUUAUUACAUUAAUCUGUCCUUCAUGGAAUCUCAUGGACUUGGGCCAUGCUCAUCAACAAAGCUCACCACAAUUCUCAGUGCACAAUACUGAGUCUUUUGAAAGGGCAAAGUAAGCAGCAGUACAGCACUUACCUCCAGAGCAGUUAUUUUUUGCAGUUAUUAAGUGUCAGUUUUGGGAUGGUGCAUGCCUCCAUACCAAUCUCUUCUUUUAAGCCUGCUCAAAAUAUGCACAUUUCCAUUUGGUAAAUCACACAGCACCAAUUAGAGUGUGCACUUCAAAUUGACUUGUUAUUAACCAAAAUUUGUCUGGUUCUCCUGAAAAGUAAAAUCAAAUAAAAUUUCCAAGGAGAAUCA
ensembl:lncRNA